AGACAUAUGGACUUUUCCUCUCUAUCUCACAGGAAGCCCCUGGGGGCUAGGAUUCAGGACACUAGGGUCUGUGUUAAUGCCUUCCUGACUAACAAUUUGUUUUUGAGUCACUUUCCUGGCCCAAUUCCCAAUUUCCUCACCACUGAAGAGAAGAUUAUCCCAUCUCCCAGCUCCAGAUCAGUCUCAAGGUUGGGGGAACACCACUGAGGAGAAAAAAUGGUAAAAGACUAAGAAGCAGGUGCCCUGGAGUCAACAAACCUAGUGUGAUUGCCCAGAUGAGUGUUUGGGAGAAAGGGAGCCAGAAGGAACUAAUCUUUGAGCUACAUGAAUGGGUAGCGAUGAAUUCUGGUUUCUGUAGGACUGUAUUUACGGAGAGAUCAGACAUCAACAGAGUCAAAUGCAACCGGCCACAGGGAAGAUAGCGAAGGGAGCUUUGGAAAUCCAUCCUUGGGGUGAUGGGAAUCCCCAUUGGCUGGGUGAGUGGGGUGUCUGGGGGCUCUGAAAAUUUAAGACUUUAGAUAACAAGGAUAGAAAGAAAAAGGGAAAAUAAAAUGCCCUUUGUAACAGACCCAUGUUUUGUCUGUUAAAUAUACUUGCACCUUUAAAAAAACAUAAGCAGCAUGAAAGACAGCAUGGCCCAGUGGAAAGACAAUGGUCCUGGAUCACCCAACUUCUAGAUCACCCAGAAGAGGCAGUUGGCCAUUUUAGGAGGGGUCAGGGAGGCUGAUGACAGGGUCUGCAGGAGGAAAGGAAGCUGCAGAGUUGGAUUUGUCCCAGAUCACUGAUUUCCAUUUGGAACUCAGCACUCAAAAAACCCUUGUAAAGUAUCCUGGGUCUAUUUUGUGUAAAGGGUUCAGGCACCGUGCCCUCCAGCGCACAUUUUAUAUUAAAGUGUUUGGUUCCGGCACCAAGCUCGUCGUAAGUGAGGGUGACCCAAAAGUACCCAAGCCAAUCAUGUUUCGUCCUCCAUCUGAGCUGGAAACAAAAAGUGAAGGAAUAUACAUUUGCCUCCUGAAGGAUUUUUACCCCGAAGUUGUCACAAUGAAAUGGAAGGAAAAGGAGAGCACUACUCCUCUGUCCUCCUACCAGAGUGCCAUAGAAAAGAUGAAUGAAGACAAAAAACGAUUUUGGACGUUCAGCUGGAUGAUGAUUGAUAAAACAUCACAGAAAAAGGGGCAUGAAUUUGUAUUCAGUCACGAGUCAAGUAAAGGGGAAACUACUGUAGAAUUUCCAGCAUUCAGCUCAGUUAAGCAAGAUGUGCAGUUCAUGAACACGUCCGCCUUUUACACCUACACCAUCCUUCUGUUCAAGAGCACCAUGUAUUGUGUCUUCAUGCUGUUCUUCACAUACAAAAAGGCCACGAGCAGCGGCAAGGGGAGAAGAUCAGCCCGAUGACAUCUCCGGAGAAACGUGCGGAGGCCGACAGGAUUUUCCAGGGCCACACGCACGGCUUCUCUCCGGACCUGCACAGGAGAAGCAGAGCGGCACUUGGAUGUUGAUAUGUGUUAUUUCUUUGUAAUCACUGGGCAGAAGUUUAUUUUAUCAUUUUAUUUUUAAACUGUAACAAACCCUCUUUCACUGAUAUGUUGUUUUAUUUUAUUUUCUGGGCUUAUUUUAGACUUUUCACUUGAAUAAUCAUCAAUCUAUCUGUUCACAUAAAUAAAAGCCCUACACCCACCUGA